rnacentral:rRNA from 1 species
GAUGAACGCUAGCGGCAGGCCUAAUACAUGCAAGUCGAACGGUGUAGCAUUACACAGUGGCGCGCGGGUGCGUAACACGUAUGCAACCUACCUUACAUUGGGGGAUAGCCUUUCGAAAGGGAGAUUAAUACCGCAUAAGACAGUAACUAGGCAUCUAGUAGCUGUUAAAGAUUUAUCGAUGUAAGCUGGGCAUGCGUCCAAUUAGUUAGUUGGCGAGGGAAUGGCUCACCAAGACGAUGAUUGGUAGGGGAACUGAGAGGUCAAUCCCCCACACUGGCACUGAGAUACGGGCCAGACUCCUACGGGAGGCAGCAGUAGGGAAUAUUGGGCAAUGGGCGCAAGCCUGACCCAGCCAUGCCGCGUGCAGGAAGAAGGCGUUAUGCGUUGUAAACUGCUUUUAUACAGGAAGAAACGACCCUUGCGAGGGGCAUUGACGGUACUGUAUGAAUAAGCACCGGCUAACUCCGUGCCAGCCGCCGCAGUAAUAC